AAUUUCUUCCUCAGUUUCUCCUUAAAACUCUAAAACUACAAGUAAGUCUCGUUGUCUGUCUAGUUAAGUAGUAAUGGCGUUUACAGAAUUUUGUAGACUGGACGAGAGGUCGGUGAUAGAGUACGUAAAGGGCGUUCCAGGCCUGUGGUCGAAGCUGGAAUUGGAUGAUGAUAACAUAAUAACCGUGAAAGAGAUCGGAGAUGGUAACCUCAACUUUGUGUUUGUGGUGGCCAACUCCGUUAUCAUCAAGCAGGCUCUGCCUUACAUUCGUUGCAUAGGGGAAUCAUGGCCACUCACAAAGGACAGAGCAUACUUUGAGGCCAUGGCACUCCAAGAGCAGGGACGCUUAACUCCUCACCAUGUCCCCCAAGUCUAUCAUUUUGACCCAACCAUGUCCUUGAUCGCCAUGCGUUAUCUGGAGCCUCCUCACAUAGUACUCAGAAAAGGCUUGAUUGCUGGAAUUCAGUAUCCACUCCUAGCACGCCACAUGGCACAUUUCAUGGCAAACACUUUCUUCUUUACUUCUCUCCUUUUCCGCUCCACACUAGAUCACAAACGGGAAGUUGCCAAAUUUUGCGGGAAUGCAGCGUUAUGCAGGCACACUCAGCAGGUUGUUUUCUCCGACCCGUAUCAAAUUUCUCAAUACAAUCAUUGGACUUCUCCUUAUCUUGAUCCUGAUGCCGAGGCUCUUCGCCAAGAUGAUCUCCUCAAACUUGAAAUUGCUGAUCUCAAGUCUAAGUUCUCCGAGAGGGCACUGGCACUCAUACAUGGAGAUCUGCACACUAGUUCUGUGAUGGUUACUCCUGAAUGAACUCAAGUCAUUGAUCCAGAAUUUGCAUUCUAUGGACCAAUGGGUUUUGACAUGGGUGCAUUCUUGGGAAACCUCAUCUUGGCUUUCUAUGCUCAGGACGGACUUGUUCAUCAACCCAAUCAUUCAAAAGCAUAUAAGGAGUGGAUUCUUCAGACAAUUGAAGACACUUGGAAUCUGUUUUAUGACAAAUUCAUUGCACUUUGGGAUGAGCACAGAAAUGGUGCUGGUGAGGCAUAUCUUCCAGCAAUUUAUAACAAUCCUGAGGUUCAGCUUCUUGCACAGAAGAGAUACAUGACAGAUUUGUUUCAUGACAGUCUUGGAUUUGGUGCUGCCAAAAUGAUAAGGAGAAUCGUUGGUGUGGCCCAUGUUGAGGAUUUUGAAUCCAUUACUGAUGCUGUUAAACGGGCUACCUGUGAACGGAAGGCUCUUAAUUUGGCUAAGAUGCUUCUCAAAGAUAGAAGAAAAUUUGAAGGCAUUGCUGAAAUUGUUUCAGCAAUUCGGCAAUUCUAGUCUACACAAGGUUUUGCUAUAUCGAUACUUCCAUAAAGUACUGCAACUCCCAAUCCUGAAGAUUUUAGUUGAGGGUGUACCGCUAGUUAAUUGUUACAGUUUCCCUGUCAAAAUCGAGGAUAAAGUGCUUUCUGUUUCUUCACGACAGUUAGUUUCUAAUCACUGAUUAUCAUACCUAUAUAUUGCUUACCGAACUAGUAAAAGUUUUAUACUCAAUAAUCAAUCAUUAUCUUUUA